GAUGAAGAACGCAGCGAAAUGCGAUAAGUAAUGUGAAUUGCAGAAUUCAGUGAAUCAUCGAAUCUUUGAAUGCAUCUUGCACUCCUUGGUAUUCUGAGGAGCAUGCCUGUUUGAGUGUCAUUAAAUUCUCAACUACACUGACUUUGAAUUGGUGUGGCUUGGAUUUGGGGGGAAAAUUGUUGUGGGCUUUUUGUAUAGUCUGCUCCCCUGAAAUUGAUUAGCGGUACCUUUGUGGAACUGUCUACAGGUGUGAUAAUUAUCUACAUCUUAGACAUCUGCUGGAAUGCUGCUUUCUAAACCUUACUUGUAUUGACAAUCUUGACCUCAAAUCAGGUAGGACUACCCGCUGAACUUAAGCAUAUCAAUAAGCGGAGGA
rnacentral:misc_RNA from 1 species